rnacentral:rRNA from 1 species
GACAGAGGGUGCAAACGUUGUUCGGAAUUACUGGGCGUAAAGCGCGUGUAGGCGGUUAUGCAAGUCGGGUGUGAAAGCCCGGAGCUCAACUCCGGAAGUGCAUUCGAUACUGCGUAGCUAGAGUACUGGAGAGGAUGGUGGAACUCUCGGUGUAGAGGUGAAAUUCGUAGAUAUCAGGAGGAACACCGAUGGCGAAGGCAGGUCUCUGGGCCACUACUGACGCUGAGAAGCGAAAGCAUGGGGAGCGAACAGG